CUGUUCUCAGUUCAGCUUAUAGCAGUAUAUCUCUGAAGGUUCCUCUGGUUUCAGUUCAGCAGUAUAUAGCAGUAUAUAGCAGUAUAUCUCUGAAGGUUCCUCUGGUUGCAGUUCAGCAGUAUAUAGCAGUAUAUCUCUGAAGGUUCCUCUGCAGUUAGCAGUAUUCAGUUUCUCUUUAGUAUUAUAGCAGUAUAUCUCUAAGGUUCCUCUGGUUCAGUUCAGCAGUAUAUAGCAGUAUAUCUCUGAAGGUUCCUCUGGUUUCAGUUCAGCAGUAUAUAGCAGUAUAUCUCUGAAGGUUCCUCUGGUUUCAGUUCAGCAGUAUAUAGCAGUAUAUCUCUGAAGGUUCCUCUGGUUUCAGUUCAGCAGUAUAUAGCAGUAUAUAGCAAGUAUAUCUCUGAAGGUUCCUCUGGUUUCAGUUCAGCAGUAUAUAGCAGUAUAUCUCUGAAGGUUCCUCUGGUUUCAGUUCAGCAGUAUAUAGCAGUAUUCUCUAGGUUCCUCUG
rnacentral:lncRNA from 1 species